UACAGAGGUCUCAAGCGUUGUUCGGAUUCAUUGGGCGUAAAGGGUGUGUAGGUGGCGCCGUAAGUCAGGUGUGAAAUUUCGGAGCUUAACUCCGAAACUGCAUUUGAUACUGCGGUGCUUGAGGACUGGAGAGGAGACUGGAAUUUACGGUGUAGCAGUGAAAUGCGUAGAUAUCGUAAGGAAGACCAGUGGCGAAGGCGAGUCUCUGGACAGUUACUGACGCUGGGGCACGAAGGCCAGGGGAGCAAACGGG
rnacentral:rRNA from 1 species